AGUGAACGCUGGCGGUAGGCCUAACACAUGCAAGUCGAACGGCAGCACAGUAAGAGCUUGCUCUUACGGGUGGCGAGUGGCGGACGGGUGAGGAAUACAUCGGAAUCUACUUUUUCGUGGGGGAUAACGUAGGGAAACUUACGCUAAUACCGCAUACGACCUACGGGUGAAAGCAGGGGAUCUUCGGACCUUGCGCGAUUGAAUGAGCCGAUGUCGGAUUAGCUAGUUGGCGGGGUAAAGGCCCACCAAGGCGACGAUCCGUAGCUGGUCUGAGAGGAUGAUCAGCCACACUGGAACUGGGACACGGUCCAGACUCCUACGGGAGGCAGCAGUGGGGAAUAUUGGACAAUGGGCGCAAGCCUGAUCCGGCCAUACCGCGUGGGUGAAGAAGGCCUUCGGGUUGUAAAGCCCUUUUGUUGGGAAAGAAAAGCAGCAGGUUAAUACCCCGCUGUUCUGACGGUACCCAAAGAAUAAGCACCGGCUAACUUCGUG
rnacentral:rRNA from 1 species